AAAUUGAAGAGUUUGAUCAUGGCUCAGAUUGAACGCUGGCGGCAGGCCUAACACAUGCAAGUCGAACGGUAGCACAGAGAGCUUGCUCUCGGGUGACGAGUGGCGGACGGGUGAGUAAUGUCUGGGAAACUGCCUGAUGGAGGGGGAUAACUACUGGAAACGGUGGCUAAUACCGCAUAACGUCGCAAGACCAAAGAGGGGGACCUUCGGGCCUCUUGCCAUCAGAUGUGCCCAGAUGGGAUUAGCUUGUUGGUGAGGUAACGGCUCACCAAGGCGACGAUCCCUAGCUGGUCUGAGAGGAUGACCAGCCACACUGGAACUGAGACACGGUCCAGACUCCUACGGGAGGCAGCAGUGGGGAAUAUUGCACAAUGGGCGCAAGCCUGAUGCAGCCAUGCCGCGUGUAUGAAGAAGGCCUUCGGGUUGUAAAGUACUUUCAGCGGGGAGGAAGGUGUUGUGGUUAAUAACCACAGCAAUUGACGUUACCCGCAGAAGAAGCACCGGCUAACUCCGUGCCAGCAGCCGCGGUAAUACGGAGGGUGCAAGCGUUAAUCGGAAUUACUGGGCGUAAAGCGCACGCAGGCGGUCUGUCAAGUCGGAUGUGAAAUCCCCGGGCUCAACCUGGGAACUGCAUUCGAAACUGGCAGGCUUGAGUCUU
rnacentral:rRNA from 1 species